rnacentral:snoRNA from 1 species
AGCCUCUUGUUUGGUUCACAAGCAUGAUGAUUCAGUAGUCACACCAUUGUGUGACAUGUGCCUCCCCCAAACCUUAAGACAUUGGGACAUUACCGCUCUGAUG